UUGAACGCUGGCGGAAUGCUUUACACAUGCAAGUCGAGCGGCAGCGCGGGGCAACCUGGCGGCGAGCGGCGAACGGGUGAGUAAUAUAUCGGAACGUACCCUGUCGUGGGGGAUAACACAUCGAAAGAUGUGCUAAUACCGCAUACGACCUGAGGGUGAAAGCGGGGGAUCGCAAGACCUCGCGCGAUAGGAGCGGCCGAUAUCGGAUUAGCUAGUUGGUGAGGUAAAGGCUCACCAAGGCGACGAUCCGUAGCUGGUCUGAGAGGAUGAUCAGCCACACUGGGACUGAGACACGGCCCAGACUCCUACGGGAGGCAGCAGUGGGGAAUUUUGGACAAUGGGCGCAAGCCUGAUCCAGCCAUUCCGCGUGAGUGAAGAAGGCCUUCGGGUUGUAAAGCUCUUUCGGCAGGAACGAAACGGUGGGAUCUAAUACAUACCACUAAUGACGGUACCUGAAGAAGAAGCACCGGCUAACUACGU
rnacentral:rRNA from 1 species